GACGAACGCUGGCGGCGUGCUUAACACAUGCAAGUCGAACGGUGAAGGGGCCUGCUUUUGUGGGCCCUGGAUGAGUGGCGAACGGGUGAGUAACACGUGAGUAACCUUCCCCCUUCUUCUGGAUAACCGCAUGAAAGUGUGGCUAAUACGGGAUAUUCUGGGUCUGUCGCAUGAUGGGUCUGGGAAAGAUUGCGCCUUUGGGUGUUUUUGGUGGGGGAUGGGCUCGCGGCCUAUCAGCUUGUUGGUGGGGGGAUGGCCUACCAAGGCGGUGUGGGGUAGCCGGCCUGAGAGGGUGGACGGUCGCACUGGGACUGAGACACGGCCCAGACUCCUACGGGAGGCAGGAGUGGGGAAUAUUGCACAAUGGGCGCAAGCCUGAUGCAGCGACGCCGCGUGAGGGAUGGAGGCCUUCGGGUUGUAAACCUCUUUCGCCAGUGAAGCAGGCCUGCUCCUUGUGGGUGGGUUGACGGUAGCUGGAUAAGAAGCGCCGGCUAACUACGUG
rnacentral:rRNA from 1 species